GACGAACGCUGGCGGCGUGCUUAACACAUGCAAGUCGAACGGUAAGGCCCUGCUUUUGUGGGGUGCUCGAGUGGCGAUCGGGUGAGUAACACGUGAGUAACCUGCCCUUUACUUUGGGAUAACUUCAGUAAACUGGGGCUAAUACCGGAUAUGAGCUCCUGCUGCAUGGUGGGUGUUGGAAAGUUUCGGCGUUUGGUGAUGGACUCGCGGCUUAUCAGCUUGUUGGUGGGGUAGUGGCUUACCAAGGCUUUGACGGGUAGCCGGCCUGAGAGGGUGACCGGCCACAUUGGGACUGAGAUACGGCCCAGACUCCUACGGGAGGCAGCAGUGGGGAAUAGUGCACAAUGGGCGGAAGCCUGAUGGAGCAACGCCGCGUGCGGGAUGACGGCCUUCGGGUUGUAAACCGCUUUAGCCUGUGAAGAAGAGUGAGUGACGGUAAUGGGUAAAGAAGCACCGGCUAACUACGUG
rnacentral:rRNA from 1 species